AUGGGGAGCCACAAGGCCACGCUGUCCACACUCGCCAGGCUGCACCCAGGCCCACUCGUCCCUGACAGCCCAACCCAAGGGUCCAUGGGCCAGAAUGGACCAACUGAAGCACCAGCAACAACUACUAAAGGAAGCGUCAACGAGAGGAGGGCAAAUCACAAGCUGGCCUACAAGUUCUACAGGCCCUUUCCCAUCAUUGACAAGAUCAACGAAGUGGUGUACAAACUUCAACUUCCCCCACAAGCAACGGUCCAUCCGGUGUUCCACAUUUCGCUGCUUCGACAAGCUCUCCUUCCAGGUAUGACUGUUGAACCUCAUCUUUCUCAUUGUUUGGAUGAUCUAGCUUUGCCGGAUGCAAUUCUCCAGACCCGUUGGCGCAACAACAAAGACGGCGUCCAAGAGCAAUUGAAGAUACAAUGGUCAGCUACUUCCAACCUGGGCAUCACUUGGGAAGAUAAAGCCAACUUGAUGGCCCGGUUUCCACAUGAGGAGGCUUGGGGGCAAGCCUCUUCCCAAGGAGGAGGGGAUGUCAGCGCCCCCGACAAUGGGGACCCACAAGGCCAUGCCGUCCACACUCGCCAGGCUGCACCUAGGCCCACUCGACCUCGAUAG
rnacentral:rRNA from 1 species